UCCCCCGUGAGGGGGCAGUCUCGCCUGACAUAUAAAACAGGCAACGAGGGUUGCGUUCGUUACCCCACUGAAGGGAACAACUCAAGCCACGAACUGACGACGACCAUGCAUCACCUGCCCAGCCGUCUUGCGAAAGCCUAGUUUCCUAGGAUGUCGUCUGGGUUUCAAACCCUGGUGAGGUUCUUCGUUUGUCAUCGAAUUGAGCCGCAUGAUCCACCGCUUGUGCAAGUCCCCGUCUAUUCCUUUGAGUUUUAAUCUUGCGAUCGUACUACCCAGGCGCAUCACUUAACGCGUUAGCUUCGCCACAAAGAGGGUCGAUACUCCUUAUAGCCAGUGAUGAUCGUUUAGGGCGUGGACUAC
rnacentral:misc_RNA from 1 species